rnacentral:rRNA from 1 species
AUUGAACGCUGGCGGAAUGCUUUACACAUGCAAGUCGAACGGCAGCACGGACUUCGGUCUGGUGGCGAGUGGCGAACGGGUGAGUAAUGUAUCGGAACGUGCCCAGUCGUGGGGGAUAACGUAGUGAAAAUUACGCUAAUACCGCAUACGUUCUAUGGAUGAAAGCGGGGGAUCGCAAGACCUCGCGCGAUUGGAGCGGCCGAUAUCAGAUUAGGUAGUUGGUGGGGUAAAGGCCCACAAAGCCAACGAUCUGUAGCUGGUCUGAGAGGACGACCAGCAACACUGGAACUGAUACACGGUCCAGACUCCUACGCGAGGCAGCAGUGGGGAAUUUUGGACAAUGGUCGAAAGCCUGAUCCAGCCAUUCCGCGUGCAGGAUGAAGGCCCUCGGGUUGUAAACUGCUUUUGUACAGAACGAAAAGGUUUCUACUAAUACUAGGAGCUCAUGACGGUACUGUAAGAAUAAGCACCGGCUAACUACGUGCCAGCAGCAGCCGCUG